GAAGCCCUAGCUUAGUUAAAGCAUCUGAGUUGCAUUCAGGGGAUGUGGGGUAAUAUCCCGCGGGCUUUA
rnacentral:tRNA from 1 species